GGUGGCCAAAAGGGAGGUCAAUUACGUAGAGGGUGGCCAAAAGGGAGGUCAAUUUCGUAGAGGGUGGCCAAAAGGGAGGUCAAUUUCGUAGAGUGGCCAAAAGGGAGGUCAAUUUCGUAGAGGGUGGCCAAAAGGGAGGUCAAUUUCGUAGAGGGUGGCCAAAAGGGAGGUCAAUUUCGUAGAGGGUGGCCAAAAGGGAGGUCAAUUUCGUAGAGGGUGGCCAAAAGGGAGGUCAAUUUCGUAGAGGGUGGCCAAAAGGGAGGUCAAUUUCGUAGAGGGUGGCCAAAAGGGAGGUCAAUUUCGUAGAGGGUGGCCAAAAGUGAGGUCAAUUUCGUAGAGGGUGGCCAAAAGGGAGGUCAAUUUCGUAGAGGGUGGCCAAAACAGAGGUCAAUUUCGUAGAGGGUGGCCAAAAGGGAGGUCAAUUUCGUAGAGGGUGGCCAAAAGGGAGGUCAAUUUCGUAGAGGGUGGCCAAAAGGGAGGUCAAUUUCGUAGAGGGUGGCCAAAAGGGAGGUCAAUUUCGGGUGUAGUUUGCUCUCUUUACAAUCCAUCUGGCUCACCUUUUUCAAUGGGUUCAGUUUUAAUUUAUGCCAUUUCACGUAUGCAUUUCCUGGGGGAAGUGUGGCGGUGACGGUUUCAUAUUUGCUUCUCACUAUCAAGUAUUUUUAAGGCUGAAGGUCACUUAUGAUAAGGUUUAAGGAAGGCGCCCUUAUCACCUACAAGUGCAAUUGCUGAGUGCUUUUCCGAGAACGUAACAAUCACAAGUGGGGGGCGGGAGAGGACGUCAAACAAACAUAUCAUGGGAGGGUGUGUGUGUGUGUGUGUGUGGGGGGGGCCUGUUUUUUACAUGGGAGGAUGUGUAUGUGUGUGUGUGUAUAGAGGAGGAGGAGGGUGCUGAUUUUUACAUGGGAGGAAGGGUGUGUGUGUGGAGGGGGAGGAAGGGGCUGUUUUUUACAUGGGAGGAAGGGUGUGUG